rfam:Medicago truncatula strain A17 chromosome 3, whole genome shotgun sequence.
CCUUUAACUAUUAAAAGUUUCUUUUUGGUCCAUUAACUUAUUUUUUGGUUUCGUUUUGGUCCCUUAACUUAUUUUUUGGUUUCAUUUUGGUACCUUAACUCUAAUACAUUCAUCCUAACAUAAAGGACCAAAGUGGUUGACGGAGGAAGAGUUAAGGGACCAAAACGAAACCAAAAAAUAAGUUAAGGGACCAAAACGAAACUUUUAAUGGUUAAGGGACCAAAACGAAACCAAAAAGUAAGUUAAGGGACCAAAACGAAACCAAAAAGUAAGUUAAGGGACCAAAACGAAACUUUUAAUAGUUAAGGGA